AACGCUAGCUACAGGCUUAACACAUGCAAGUCGAGGGGCAGCAUGGUCUUAGCUUGCUAAGGCCGAUGGCGACCGGCGCACGGGUGAGUAACACGUAUCCAACCUGCCGUCUACUCUUGGACAGCCUUCUGAAAGGAAGAUUAAUACAAGAUGGCAUCAUGAGUCCGCAUGUUCACAUGAUUAAAGGUAUUCCGGUAGACGAUGGGGAUGCGUUCCAUUAGAUAGUAGGCGGGGUAACGGCCCACCUAGUCUUCGAUGGAUAGGGGUUCUGAGAGGAAGGUCCCCCACAUUGGAACUGAGACACGGUCCAAACUCCUACGGGAGGCAGCAGUGAGGAAUAUUGGUCAAUGGGCGAGAGCCUGAACCAGCCAAGUAGCGUGAAGGAUGACUGCCCUAUGGGUUGUAAACUUCUUUUAUAAAGGAAUAAAGUCGGGUAUGCAUACCCGUUUGCAUGUACUUUAUGAAUAAGGAUCGGCUAACUCCGUGCCAGCAGCCGCGGUAAUACGGAGGAUCCGAGCGUUAUCCGGAUUUAUUGGGUUUAAAGGGAGCGUAGAUGGAUGUUUAAGUCAGUUGUGAAAGUUUGCGGCUCAACCGUAAAAUUGCAGUUGAUACUGGAUAUCUUGAGUGCAGUUGAGGCAGGCGGAAUUCGUGGUGUAGCGGUGAAAUGCUUAGAUAUCACGAAGAACUCCGAUUGCGAAGGCAGCCUGCUAAGCUGCAACUGACAUUGAGGCUCGGAAGUGUGGGUAUCAAACAGGAUUAGAUACCCUGGUAGUCCACACGGUAAACGAUGAAUACUCGCUGUUUGCGAUAUACAGCAAGCGGCCAAGCGAAAGCGUUAAGUAUUCCACCUGGGGAGUACGCCGGCAACGGUGAAACUCAAAGGAAUUGACGGGGGCCCGCACAAGCGGAGGAACAUGUGGUUUAAUUCGAUGAUACGCGAGGAACCUUACCCGGGCUUAAAUUGCAGAUGAAUUACGGUGAAAGCCGUAAGCCGCAAGGCAUCUGUGAAGGUGCUGCAUGGUUGUCGUCAGCUCGUGCCGUGAGGUGUCGGCUUAAGUGCCAUAACGAGCGCAACCCUUGUUGUCAGUUACUAACAGGUUCCGCUGAGGACUCUGACAAGACUGCCAUCGUAAGAUGUGAGGAAGGUGGGGAUGACGUCAAAUCAGCACGGCCCUUACGUCCGGGGCUACACACGUGUUACAAUGGGGGGUACAGAGGGCCGCUACCACGCGAGUGGAUGCCAAUCCCAAAAACCUCUCUCAGUUCGGACUGGAGUCUGCAACCCGACUCCACGAAGCUGGAUUCGCUAGUAAUCGCGCAUCAGCCACGGCGCGGUGAAUACGUUCCCGGGCCUUGUACACACCGCCCGUCAAGCCAUGGGAGCCGGGGGUACCUGAAGUGCGUAACCGCGAGGAGCGCCCUAGGGUAAAACUGGUGACUGGGGCU
rnacentral:rRNA from 1 species